rnacentral:rRNA from 1 species
UACAGGGGGGGCAAGCGUUGUUCGGAAUUACUGGGCGUAAAGGGUCUGUAGGUGGCCAACUAAGUCAGACGUGAAAUCCCUCAGCUUAACUGGGGAACUGCGUCUGAUACUGGAUGGCUUGAGUGCAGGAGAGGAACGCGGAAUUCCAGGUGUAGCGGUGAAAUGCGUAGAUAUCUGGAGGAACACCGGUGGCGAAGGCGGCGUUCUGGACUGCAACUGACACUGAGAGACGAAAGCCAGGGGAGCAAACGGG